ensembl:lncRNA
CUUGCUUCAUGGCUCUUAAGAUGAAACUGGGGUUUGAGGUUCCUCCCCCUAGCCACUAAAGAAGGAUUUUACUGUCCAAACCCAGAAAGGCGAUUCAUUCUUUACCAUUUCUGGGGAUUUCAGUCUUAAUGUGGUACUUUAUUAACAGGAGAUGCUAAGGUACCUUCUAUGUGAACAAUCUGCAGUGUCUAAAUUGCCUUAAAGGAGCCCACUUCUUAGCUGCUAAAAUCAGUGCUCUUUUACUCCUUCAGAGGAGCAGGGAUGAUACCUACCAACCCGGUAGGUGAGAUAUAGGUGGUGCAUAUUAAUUUCCCUUAGAAAUUCCAAGCCCUGUCUCCUGUGUAAAGACGGUAUGUCUGGUUCAGAGGUGUGUAUUAGUGAGUGUUGCUUGUUAACAUCCAGUAGACCCAUUUGGAUUUAUAGUACAACCCUUCCUCCACUCCCAGUCUCUCUCAGUUUUCUAGUUUUUAACUAGACCGCAUUCUAUCAAGUUGAGUUUUGUACCCUAGCAUUUCUGUUGUAUUUUUUAAAAACUAAGGAAAAUUUUUAGUGUUAACACUGAGGAACUGCUUGAGUGGUUGUUACCAAUUUCUCUUUUGAACCUUUGGAGCUAAGAGUGCAGCUUGAAUCUAGAGAAAUGCUAGUCUCAAAUUCUGAAUGAAUUCCUGUGUUUCUAGCCCUUAUUUCAUAGCAUCAACGAACUGGAGCCAUAAGCAAAUUCUCUCAGUUCUGCCCCAUACAGCUUAUGCUGAAGGCAAAUUUCUUGAGCCAUUACUCAGUACAAAGCACUGAGUCAAUCUAGGUUUUAUCCUUUAAGAGCAAAGUUCUGAUCAGCUGUGCUUCUGCAAUCUAAAAUAUUUAGAGAGAGGUAGGUGUGGAUGAGAGAAAGAACCAUAAACUUGGCCUUGGUGAAAUAAAACUAACUCCAUAUAAUUUGCUUGGAACUGUAGGCCCUGUAUAAUACUAUUUUUACAGAUGUGGUACCACUUUAGAUUGACACAUGCCACCAAAAAAGUUCAUAAACUAAAAUCUUAAAGGACAAUUUGUGUGUAGAGAAAGUAGUUGGUACAUCUUGACUCAUACUCCGAAAGAAUCCCCAGAGAGGCUCUCUCAAAGAUCAGAGGUAGAGUCCCAUGCCAUGUACCCUGCUUACCAGCAUUUCUGCAUGGUCAAAUGAGCUUUAUGCUCAUGAGCUUUUAAAUAUAUAAUUACCCAGGAUUUCAAAUCCUCAACUUGUUCUAGCUUAUGAUCCUUCAAAAUUGGAUCAUGCAUUAGUGCUAGAUUCUAGAAAUUUUCGCUUCCCUCCACUGAUCAGAGAAACAGACAAUAAAAACAGAAAUACAAGAAAGGAAAGCUUUUACCCUGCAGCUUUCUAGCAGGGCACAACUAUCUUGCCAAAACUUUUUCCCCCUUUUCUCUAUUUCUCCCCACCCCGUCUCUAAUCCAUGCCAGCCUGACCAUGCUUUCUUCUCUGUAGAUGCUAACAGUUGAAGCCUUUUUUCCUGGGGAGGGCACUUAACCAGCCAAUCAGAACACCAUAUCUGUUAGGGGAGAUAACCUGACCAACAGUGUAUCUAUUGGGCGCCUCUGCUGGAGGAAGGGGCCCACGUCCUGCUGCCCUCUGGUCUGCCCUCUGGUUCGGUAUCUAUUAAUGUGUCCAUAGGAACAAUAGGUAAGGGCUCCAUCUCUGUCAAACCAUGUAACAAGGGACACUAGAAAAUAUCUGGCAUCAGAGGGAACAUGUGGAGAGCAACUUGGGAGGAAAAAGUUCAUUUUGUAUUAAAUGAUUUUUAAUGAAUGCAAUAUUAAUCAUUGCAGAUGAGCAAUAAUCAUUAAAGUCAAUUAAAAUGAUAAG